ensembl:Y_RNA Y_RNA Y RNA
GGCUGGUCCGAGUGCAGUGGUGUUUACAACUAAUUGAUCACAACCAGUUACAGAUUUUAUUCCUUCUCCACUCCCAUUGCUUCACUUGACUAGCCUUAC